rnacentral:rRNA from 1 species
AACGAACGCUGGCGGCAUGCCUAAUACAUGCAAGUCGAACGAUCACUUCGGUGAUAGUGGCGCACGGGUGCGUAACGCGUGGGAAUCUGCCCUUGGGUUCGGAAUAACAGCUGGAAACGGCUGCUAAUACCGGAUGAUGACGUAAGUCCAAAGAUUUAUCGCCCAGGGGUGAGCCCGCGUAGGAUUAGGUAGUUGGUGGGGUAAAGGCCUACCAAGCCUACGAUCCUUAGCUGGUCUGAGAGGAUGAUCAGCCACACUGGGACUGAGACACGGCCCAGACUCCUACGGGAGGCGGCAGUAGGGAAUAUUGGACAAUGGGGGCAACCCUGAUCCAGCAAUGCCGCGUGAGUGAUGAAGGCCUUAGGGUUGUAAAGCUCUUUUACCCGGGAUGAUAAUGACAGUACCGGGAGAAUAAGCCCCGGCUAACUCCGUGCCAGCCGCCGCCGUAA